UACGUAGGGGGCUAGCGUUGUCCGGAUUUAUUGGGCGUAAAGAGCGUGUAGGCGGCCAGGUAGGUCUGCUGUGAAAUCCCGAGGCUCAACCUCGGGUCUGCAGUCGAUACGGGCGGACUGGAGUUCGGCAGGGGAGACUGGAAUUCCUGGUGUAGCGGUGAAAUGCGCAGAUAUCAGGAGGAACACCGGUGGCGAAGGCGGGUCUCUGGGCCGAUACUGACGCUGAGGAGCGAAAGCGUGGGGAGCGAACAGG
rnacentral:rRNA from 1 species